GGUGGAAGGGGAGCCGAGAUGCGAGUGGAAAUGGUGGAAAAUCUUGGUUUCUUUCAGGCAUCAACGAGAAGGUGGCGGUGACAGUGCGUUAGAAUAAGAUCUGGUGGAAGAGAUGUUGAGAAACAAUGUGCUCUCAAAUGGAGCCUUCUGACCUGCGCAGACAAACUCCAUUGAACACGUCCUAUUUUAUGAAAAUUCUUGAAAUUAACCCAACUUCUGCAAAAAGGUGGUCAUACCCAUGUUACACAUCCAUGCCAGGUUUGAAAGAAUUCCGACACCGUAUGCAAGGCACAACACAUCCGGCCAGUUAUCGGCCUUUCCACAAUUUGUUCCUAUUUUCUGGAAAAAAAAUUAGAAUUCCAAACUUGUUAGUG
rnacentral:lncRNA from 1 species